rnacentral:rRNA from 1 species
UACGGGGUAGGGCAAGCGUUGUCCGGAUUUACUGGGCGUAAAGGGCGCGUAGGCGGUCAGCACAAGUCAGUUGUGAAAUCUCCGGGCUUAACUCGGAAAGGUCAACUGAUACUGUGCGACUAGAGUGCAGAAGGGGCAACUGGAAUUCUCGGUGUAGCGGUGAAAUGCGUAGAUAUCGAGAGGAACACCUGCGGCGAAGGCGGGUUGCUGGGCUGACACUGACGCUGAGGCGCGAAAGCCAGGGGAGCGAACGGG